CGAGUGGCGGACGGGUGAGUAACGCGUGAGCAACCCUGUCCCACGACAAGGGGGGAGUAACAACUUGGAAACAGGUGCUAAUACCGCAUAAGACCACAGUAGGACAUCCUACAGGGGUAAAAGGGAGCAAUCCGGUUUGGGGUGGGCUCGCGUCCGAUUAGAUAGUUGGUGAGGUAACGGCCCACCAAGUCGACGAUCGGUAGCCGACCUGAGAGGGUGAUCGGCCACAUUGGAACUGAGAGACGGUCCAAACUCCUACGGGAGGCAGCAGUGGGGAAUAUUGGGCAAUGGGCGAAAGCCUGACCCAGCAACGCCGCGUGAGUGAAGAAGGCCUUCGGGUUGUAAAGCUCUGUUAUAGUUGACGAAGGAAGUGACGGUAGGCUAUAAGGAAGCCCCGGCUAACUACGUGCCAGCCGCGGC
rnacentral:rRNA from 1 species